rnacentral:rRNA from 1 species
UACAGAGGUCCCAAGCGUUGUUCGGAUUCAUUGGGCGUAAAGGGUGCGUAGGUGGUGGGGUAAGUCGGAUGUGAAAUCCCGGGGCUCAACCCCGGAACUGCAUUCGAAACUGCCUUGCUCGAGUACUGGAGAGGAGACUGGAAUUUACGGUGUAGCAGUGAAAUGCGUAGAUAUCGUAAGGAAGACCAGUGGCGAAGGCGAGUCUCUGGACAGUUACUGACACUGAGGCACGAAGGCCAGGGGAGCAAACGGG